rnacentral:rRNA from 1 species
UUAGCUAGUCGGCGGGGUAACGGCCCACCGAGGCGACGAUGCGUAGGGGUUCUGAGAGGAAGGUCCCCCACACUGGUACUGAGACACGGACCAGACUCCUACGGGAGGCAGCAGUGAGGAAUAUUGGUCAAUGGGCGCGAGCCUGAACCAGCCAAGUCGCGUGAGGGAUGACGGUCCUACGGAUUGUAAACCUCUUUUGCCGGGGAGCAAGCGUGCGUUCGUGAACGCGCGUCGAGAGUACCCGGAGAAAAAGCAUCGGCUAACUCCGUGCCAGCAGCCGCGGUAAUACGGAGGAUGCGAGCGUUAUCCGGAUUUAUUGGGUUUAAAGGGUGCGUAGGCGGGAUGCCAAGUCAGCGGUAAAAAUGCGGUGCUCAACGCCGUCGAGCCGUUGAAACUGGCGUUCUUGAGUGGGCGAGAAGUAUGCGGAAUGCGUGGUGUAGCGGUGAAAUGCAUAGAUAUCACGCAGAACUCCGAUUGCGAAGGCAGCAUACCGGCGCCCUACUGACGCUGAGGCACGAAAGCGUGGGUAUCGAACAGGAUUAGAUACCCUGGUAGUCCACGCAGUAAACGAUGAAUGCUAACUGUCCGGCUCGAAUGAGCGCUGG